UACAAMUUUCAGCAACGGAUCUCUUGGCUCUCGCAUCGAUGAAGAACGCAGCGAAAUGCGAUAAGUAAUGUGAAUUGCAGAAUUCAGUGAAUCAUCGAAUCUUUGAACGCACCUUGC
rnacentral:rRNA from 1 species